rnacentral:rRNA from 1 species
GCGUGUGUGAAGAAGGCCUUAUGGUUGUAAAGCACUAUAGGCGAGGAGGAUGCUACUUUAGUUAAUACCUAGAGAUAGUGGACGUUACUCGCAGAAUAAGCACCGGCUAACUCUGUGCCAGCAGCCGCGGUAAUACAGAGGGUGCAAGCGUUAAUCGGAUUUACUGGGCGUAAAGCGCGCGUAGGCGGCUAAUUAAGUCAAAUGUGAAAUCCCCGAGCUUAACUUGGGAAUUGCAUUCGAUACUGGUUAGCUAGAGUGUGGGAGAGGAUGGUAGAAUUCCAGGUGUAGCGGUGAAAUGCGUAGAGAUCUGGAGGAAUACCGAUGGCGAAGGCAGCCAUCUGGCCUAACACUGACGCUGAGGUGCGAAAGCAUGGGGAGCAAACAGGAUUAGAUACCCUGGUAGUCCAUGCCGUACACGAUGUCUACUAGCCGUUGGGGCCUUUGAGGCUUUAGUGGCGCAGCUAACGCGAUAAGUAGACCGCCUGGGGAGUACGGUCGCAAGACUACAACUCAAAUGAAUUGACGGGGGCCCGCACAAGCGGUGGAGCA